rnacentral:rRNA from 1 species
UACAGAGACCUCAAGCGUUAUCCGGAAUCAUUGGGCGUAAAGCGUGCCGAUAGGUGGUUUAUUUAGUCUUGGGUGAAAGACCGAAGCUUAACUUCGGGGUUUGCUUAAGAUACUAAUAGACUAGAGGGGCAAAGAGGUGCUUGGAACGAAUGGUGUAGUAGUGAAAUGCGUUGAUAUCAUUCGGAACACCGAAAGCGAAGGCAGAGCACUGGGUGCCACCUGACACUGCUAGGACGAAAGCGUGGGGAGCGAAUGGG